UACGUAGGGAGCAAGCGUUGUCCGGAAUCAUUGGGCGUAAAGCGCGCGUAGGCGGCCUCGUAAGUCCGUUGUGAAAGUCAAAGGCUCAACCUUUGAAUGCCGAUGGAUACUGUGAGGCUAGAGUCCGGAAGAGGCGAGUGGAAUUCCUGGUGUAGCGGUGGAAUGCGCAGAUAUCAGGAGGAACACCAAUAGCGAAGGCAGGUCGCUGGGACGGUACUGACGCUAAGGCGCGAAAGCGUGGGGAGCGAACAGG
rnacentral:rRNA from 1 species